rnacentral:tRNA from 1 species
GCCGCGGUAGCUUAGGCCGGGAGAGAAAAUCCAUCCGAUAGCGCCGGACUGAAGAUCCGGUUGUCGCAGGUUCAAUUCCUGCCCGCGGCACCA